UACAGAGGUCUCAAGCGUUGUUCGGAUUCAUUGGGCGUAAAGGGUGCGUAGGUGGCAUGGUAAGUCGGAUGUGAAAUCCCGGGGCUCAACCCCGGGCCUGCAGUCGAUACGGGCGGACUAGAGUUCGGUAGGGGAGACUGGAAUUCCUGGUGUAGCGGUGAAAUGCGCAGAUAUCAGGAGGAACACCGGUGGCGAAGGCGGGUCUCUGGGCCGAUACUGACGCUGAGGAGCGAAAGCGUGGGGAGCGAACAGG
rnacentral:rRNA from 1 species